rnacentral:rRNA from 1 species
GACGAACGCUGGCGGCGUGCCUAAUACAUGCAAGUAGGACGCACAGUUUAUACCGUAGCUUGCUACACCAUAGACUGUGAGUUGCGAACGGGUGAGUAACGCGUAGGUAACCUACCUAUUAGGGGGGGAUAACUAUUGGAAACGAUAGCUAAUACCGCAUAACAGUAUGUAACACAUGUUAGAUGCUUGAAAGAUGCAAUUGCAUCGCUAGUAGAUGGACCUGCGUUGUAUUAGCUAGUAGGUAGGGUAAAGGCCUACCUAGGCAACGAUACAUAGCCGACCUGAGAGGGUGAUCGGCCACACUGGGACUGAGACACGGCCCAGACUCCUACGGGAGGCAGCAGUAGGGAAUCUUCGGCAAUGGGGGAAACCCUGACCGAGCAACGCCGCGUGAGUGAAGAAGGUUUUCGGAUCGUAAAGCUCUGUUGUUAAGGAAGAACGAGUGUGAGAAUGGAAAGUUCAUGCUGUGACGGUACUUAACCAGAAAGGACGGC